UACGUAGGGGGCAAGCGUUGUCCGGAAUCAUUGGGCGUAAAGAGCGUGUAGGCGGCUUCGUCAGUCCGUUGUGAAAGUCCAGGGCUCAACCCUGGAAUGCCGAUGGAUACUGCGGAGCUAGAGUCCGGAAGAGGCGAGUGGAAUUCCUGGUGUAGCGGUGAAAUGCGCAGAUAUCAGGAGGAACACCUAUGGCGAAGGCAGCUCGCUGGGACGGCACUGACGCUGAGACGCGAAAGCGUGGGGAGCAAAAGGG
rnacentral:rRNA from 1 species